AGUGAACGCUGGCGGUAGGCCUAACACAUGCAAGUCGAACGGCAGCACAGUAAGAGCUUGCUCUUACGGGUGGCGAGUGGCGGACGGGUGAGGAAUACAUCGGAAUCUACUUUUUCGUGGGGGAUAACGUAGGGAAACUUACGCUAAUACCGCAUACGACCUACGGGUGAAAGCAGGGGAUCUUCGGACCUUGCGCGAUUGAAUUAGCCGAUGUCGGAUUAGUUAGUUGGCGGGGUAAAGGCCCACCAAUGCGACGAUCCGUAGCUGGUCUGAGAGGAUGAUCAGCCACACUGGAACUGAGACACGGUCCAGACUCCUACGGGAGGCAGCAGUGGGGAAUAUUGGACAAUGGGCGCAAGCCUGAUCCAGCCAUACCGCGUGGGUGAAGAAGGCCUUCGGGUUGUAAAGCCCUUUUGUUGGGAAAGAAAAGCAGCAGGUUAAUACCCCGCUGUUCUGACGGUACCCAAAGAAUAAGCACCGGCUAACUUCGUG
rnacentral:rRNA from 1 species